UACGUAGGGUGCAAGCGUUAAUCGGAAUUACUGGGCGUAAAGCGUGCGCAGGCGGUUUCGUAAGUCUGUCGUGAAAUCCCCGGGCUUAACCUGGGAAUGGCGAUGGAGACUGCGAGGCUAGAGUUUGGCAGAGGGGGAUGGAAUUCCGCGUGUAGCAGUGAAAUGCGUAGAUAUGCGGAGGAACACCGAUGGCGAAGGCAAUCCCCUGGGCCUGCACUGACGCUCAUGCACGAAAGCGUGGGGAGCAAACAGG
rnacentral:rRNA from 1 species